CACUCCUGCGGGAGGCAGCAGUGGGGAAUUUUGGACAAUGGGCGAAAGCCUGAUCCAGCCAUGCCGCGUGCAGGAUGAAGGCCUUCGGGUUGUAAACUGCUUUUGUACGGAACGAAACGGCCUUUUCUAAUAAAGAGGGCUAAUGACGGUACCGUAAGAAUAAGCACCGGCUAACUACGUGCCAGCAGCCGCGGUAAUACGUAGGGUGCAAGCGUUAAUCGGAAUUACUGGGCGUAAAGCGUGCGCAGGCGGUUAUGUAAGACAGUUGUGAAAUCCCCGGGCUCAACCUGGGAACUGCAUCUGUGACUGCAUAGCUAGAGUACGGUAGAGGGGGAUGGAAUUCCGCGUGUAGCAGUGAAAUGCGUAGAUAUGCGGAGGAACACCGAUGGCGAAGGCAAUCCCCUGGACCUGUACUGACGCUCAUGCACGAAAGCGUGGGGAGCAAACAGGAUUAGAAACCCUUGUAGUCCCAUG
rnacentral:rRNA from 1 species